UUUCCGUAGGUGAACCUGCGGAAGGAUCAUUACCGUGCUCCUGCCCUUCGGGGUAGAGACGCCACCCUUGCGUCGCCGACAGUUGUGGCUUUGGCGGGCCCGCCCGCCAGGGACCCCAAACACUGAGUGUUAGUGUCGUUGGAGUCCAAUACAAUAGUUAAAACUAUCAACAACGGAUCUCUUGGUUCUG
rnacentral:misc_RNA from 1 species